UACGGGGGGGGUAAGCGUUGUUCGGAAUUACUGGGCGUAAAGGGCGCGUAGGCGGCACAGCAAGUCGGGAGUGAAAGCCCGGGGCUCAACCCCGGAACUGCUUUCGAAACUGCUGAGCUAGAGUACAGAAGGGGCAACCGGAAUUCCCAGUGUAGCGGUGAAAUGCGUAGAUAUUGGGAAGAACACCUGAGGCGAAGGCGGGUUGCUGGGCUGAUACUGACGCUGAGGCGCGAAAGCCAGGGGAGCAAACGGG
rnacentral:rRNA from 1 species